GCCGGGGUGGCCCAAUUGGUACGGCGCAGGCCUUGAGAGCCUGUUUCCCGCAAGGGAUUUCUGGGUUCGAGUCCCAGCCCCGGCG
rnacentral:tRNA from 1 species